AAUAUUGCGCAAUGAGCGAAAGCUAGACGCAGCAACGCCGCGUGGGUGAUGAAGGCCUUCGGGUCGUAAAACCCUUUUCUGGGGGAAGAGUAAGGACGGUACCCCAGGAAUAAGCCUCGGCUAACUAUGUGCCAGCAGCCGCGGUAAUACAUAGGAGGCAAGCGUUAUCCGGAUUUACUGGGCGUAAAGAGCGUUGAGGCGGCUUCGUAAGUUGGACGUGAAAGCUCCCGGCUUAACUGGGAGAGGCCGUUCAAUACUGCGGGGCUUGAGGACAGCAGAGGGGGGUGGAAUUUCCGGUGUAGUGGUGAAAUGCGUAGAUAUCGGAAGGAACACCAGUGGCGAAGGCGGCCCCCUGGGCUGCUCCUGACGCUGAAGGCGAAAGCUAGGGUAGCGAACGGGAUUAGAAACCCCGGUAGUCCUAGCCGUAAACGAUGGAUACUAGGUGUAGGAGGUUAAAAUUCCUUCUGUGCCGGAGCUAACGCGUUAAGUAUCCCGCCUGGGGAGUACGGUCGCAAGGCUAAAACUCAAAGGAAUUGACGGGGGCCCGCACAAGCAGCGGAGCGUGUGGUUUAAUUCGAUGCAACGCGAAGAACCUUACCAGGGCUUGACAUGUAGGUAGUAGUGAAGCGAAAGCGGAACGAUCCUUCGGGAAGCCUACACAGGUGCUGCAUGGCUGUCGUCAGCUCGUGCCGUGAGGUGUUAGGUUAAGUCCUGUAACGAGCGCAACCCCUGCCGUUAGUUACAAGUGUCUAACGGGACUGCCCGGCAAAACUGGGAGGAAGGUGGGGAUGACGUCAAGUCAGCAUGGCCUUUAUGUCCUGGGCUACACACACGCUACAAUGGCCGGUACAAUGGGUUGCCAAGCCGCGAGGCGGAGCCAAUCCUCUAAAGCCGGUCUCAGUUCGGAUUGUAGGCUGCAACCCGCCUGCAUGAAGUUGGAGUUGCUAGUAACCGCAGGUCAGCCACACUGCGGUGAAUACGUUCCCGGGCCUUGUACA
rnacentral:rRNA from 1 species